rnacentral:rRNA from 1 species
GGGUUCUUGCACGGGGAUUAUGCAGUCUUAAAGGGCUUUGUACUGGGCCUAUUUGGGGAAAAUUUUAAUAUUUUUAUUAAAUUAAAUUUUGAUCUUAAUUUAACUAUAAGAAAAAGUUACCCCAGGGAUAACAGCGUUAUUAUUAUAAAAGACCUUAUUGGAAUAGUAGUUUGCGACCUCGAUGUUGAAUUAUAGUAACGAUUAGAGCACACCCUAAUUGGGUUUAGUCUGUUCGACUAAUAAUACUAUACAUGAUCUGAGUU